UCCGAACCCACUAAUGUUGAAAAAUUAGGGGAUGAGCUGUGGAUAGGGGUGAAAGGCUAAACAAAUCCGGAAAUAGCUGGUUCUCUCCGAAAACUAUUUAGGUAGUGCCUCAAGUAUCACCCACGGGGGUAAAGCACUGUAAUGGUUGAAGGGGUCAUCGCGACUUACUUCGCCAUAGCAAACUCUGAAUACCGUGGAGUGCGAGCUUGGGAGACAGACAUCGGGUGCUAACGUCCGGUGUCAAGAGGGAAACAACCCAGACCGCCGAUUAAGGUCCCAAAGACAUAGUUAAGUGGGAAACGAAGUGGGAAGGCACAGACAGCCAGGAGGUUGGCUUAGAAGCAGCCAUCCUUUAAAGAAAGCGUAAUAGCUCACUGGUCGAGUCGUCCUGCGCGGAAGAUGUAACGGGGCUCAAACUAUGCACCGAAAUCGCGGAUAUGCGUAAGCAUAUGGUAGGAGAGCGUUCUGUAGGCCUGCGAAGGUGUCUCGUAAGGGAUGCUGGAGGUAUCAGAAGUGCGAAUG
rnacentral:rRNA from 1 species